CCGCACAGCCGGGGAGUCAGCGGUGCCCUGUACCUGCAAUCCGCUAUAGCAGGGGUGAUAUCCCGCCCAGGGCUCAGGCAGCGGAGCUGCCCCUUGUAAGUGGCGUUGAAGUUUGGGUCUUGCGCAACAGAUCCCCGUGAACCGUGUCAGGGCAGGAAUGCAGCAGCACUAAGCGGGCCCUUCUGUGUGCCGCAGGGAAGCCUGGACCGAGUUAACUGCGAGGGUAACGUCCGCCGUUUGUGUUCAAAGCGGGGUGUGCGG
rnacentral:SRP_RNA from 1 species